AUACUUACCUGGCAGGGGAGAUAACAUGAUCACGAAGGUGGUUCUCCCAGGGCGAGGCUCAUCCAUUGCACUCCGGCCGUGCUGACCCCUGCGAUUUCCCCAAAUGCGGGAAAGUCGACUGCAUAAUUUCUGGUAGUGGGGGACUGCGUUCGCGCUUUCCCCUG
ensembl:snRNA U1 U1 spliceosomal RNA